UACGUAGGGCGCAAGCGUUAUCCGGAAUUAUUGGGCGUAAAGAGCUCGUAGGCGGUUUGUCGCGUCUGCCGUGAAAGUCCGGGGCUCAACUCCGGAUCUGCGGUGGGUACGGGCAGACUAGAGUGAUGUAGGGGAGACUGGAAUUCCUGGUGUAGCGGUGAAAUGCGCAGAUAUCAGGAGGAACACCGAUGGCGAAGGCAGGGUCUCUGGGCAUUAACUGACGCUGAGGAGCGAAAGCAUGGGGGAGCGAACAGG
rnacentral:rRNA from 1 species